rnacentral:rRNA from 1 species
AGAAAGCAGGGGAUCGUAAGACCUUGCGCUUUUGGAGCGGCCGAUGUCUGAUUAGCUAGUUGGUGAGGUAAAGGCUUACCAAGGCUUCGAUCAGUAGCUGGUCUGAGAGGACGACCAGCCACACUGGGACUGAGACACGGCCCAGACUCCUACGGGAGGCAGCAGUGGGGAAUUUUGGACAAUGGGGGCAACCCUGAUCCAGCCAUGCCGCGUGAGUGAAGAAGGCCUUCGGGUUGUAAAGCUCUUUCAGCCGGAACGAAAAGGUUACGGUUAAUACCCGUGACUAAUGACGGUACCGGAAGAAGAAGCACCGGCUAACUACGUGCCAGCAGCCGCGGUAAUACGUAGGGUGCGAGCGUUAAUCGGAAUUACUGGGCGUAAAGCGUGCGCAGGCGGUUUUGUAAGUCAGAUGUGAAAUCCCCGGGCUUAACCUGGGAACUGCGUUUGAAACUACAAAGCU